rnacentral:rRNA from 1 species
UACGGGGGGGGCAAGCGUUGUUCGGAAUUACUGGGCGUAAAGGGCUCGUAGGCGGCCAACUAAGUCAGACGUGAAAUCCCUCGGCUUAACCGGGGAACUGCGUCUGAUACUGGAUGGCUUGAGUUUGGGAGAGGGAUGCGGAAUUCCAGGUGUAGCGGUGAAAUGCGUAGAUAUCAGGAGGAACACCAAUUGCGAAGGCAGCUCGCUGGGACGUAACUGACGCUGAGACGCGAAAGCGUGGGGAGCAAACAGG